rnacentral:lncRNA from 1 species
AAAAAUUCAAGGGAAAAGUGUGAAAAUUCAAGUCAUCAAGCAAUCAAAGGUAAAAUUUCUUGAUUUUGACUUGUGAUCUACCUUUCCCAUGCAUUAUUUUGCAUUUUCCAUGGUUGAAUAACAAGAUAUCAUGAAGGAUUCAUGGCUGACCGAAUUUAGAGAGAGAAGAUUUGAUGAUUUAUUGGGUUAGAUUUUGAGAUAUUUUAGUGUUUAUAGUUGAUUUAUCAUGUUUGGAAAGAAAACAAGUAAGAAAAAUCACAUGUUCUUCAUGGAUUCUUCAUUAGCCACAUUUUUCAUGUAGAGUGUGGAUGAUGAUUUUGAUUUUAUUUCAAGUGAAUUGGUUAGGAAAUGAUGAAUUAUGGUGAGAAAAUCAAGUAGGAAAAAUCAUAGUAUUGAUGCACCCACCAUGGCCGAAUUUUCCAAGAGAAAAUGUGAAAAUGAUUUUGCUAGAUUUUAUGCUAUUUGACUUGUGUUUGAUGAUUUAGAGUAUUGGGAGAAAAAUGAAAUUUAUUUGGAGUUAAAUUGUACAUAUUGGCCAAUUAAUCGAGAAAUAGAUCGAAUUAGGCCAAUACCGUUUUAUUUAGGUACACAAUUGAAUUUGUGUAGAACACCGUGUUUAUAUGAUAGUUCGAACAAUUUGCAUCCCAUUUCAUACAUUAGUAUAAAGCCUGAAUUGGUUUUAUAACAAUUUAGCACAAUGUAGUAAAUGCCUUAUUGUGCAUUAUGUCUAGGUGGUGAGCAUUCUGGCAAAAGUAAAGAGAUAGUACCCGAGGAUCAAGAAUCGAAGUACUUG